AAAUAUGAAUAAAUACAAAGUGAUUUAGAAAUGUAAUAACAGUUGACUGAACCAGGAAUAGUGAGACAUUGUGCUAAUCACUACUAGACAGGCUCUCAAAGAAUAUAGCAAUAGUUGAGCCUUGAUAAGAUGCUUAGGAUUCCUUAUUUAUUCACACAAACACAGAGUACAAAGGCUAAUGCCAUCUAUGUUUGCAAAAAGGACUGAGGUUUCCCUACCUUGUUCCAUAGAGUGUGCAUGUUCUUCUCUAGGGGUGUUCAUGAGACCAUUGAGAUUGACAGAGAUAGUGACAUCCAAGACAGACUAUGCCUAUUGAGACCAGGUGAUCUCAUAUCUCUGCUUCCAGAUAUCAGAGCCUGAGCUGGCAAGAUGAUUCAUGCCUGGCUUGUCCCUCACAUGGGCAUCAAAUUCCUACACUGCAUUUCCAUUUUUCUAUUGGGAGCAGGACUUACAGAUGCUGAAGUCACCCAGACACCAAAACAGCUUGUCACAGAGAUAAGACAGCAAGUGAACCUGACAUGUCACCCCAUUUCUGGACACACUGGACUCUACUGGUACCAACAGGUCACAGGGAACGGAAUAGAGUUGCUGGUAUAUCUUCAGAACAACAAAAUUCUCGAUGACACUCAAUUUUCCAAAGAUCGAUUCUCAGUUAUAUGGCCCAAGUCAUCACCGUCUAUCCUGACGAUCAAAACCACAGAACUCAAAGACUCUGCUGUGUAUCUCUGUGCCAGCAGUCCAACCACAGCAUUGCAGCACCAGUGCCUCUCUAUACACAAAUAUCUUUCUUCUCCCUAUACGCUUUUCCUGAGACCUGUGCAAGACUCCUCCCAGCUAUUCCCCCACUAAGGGAUCAAGAGAAAUUAGUUUCAGCUGUCCCCCUACCCUCUUGCAGAGGGAGAUAGAGGAUUAGAGGAUUAACUCUUCAGUUGCAUGUAGAAACAAUUAUCCAUAAUUGUCCUUUGACAUUUUAGAAUUUAGAUUUUCUUCCUUCUUCCCUUCUUCCCCUUCCAGAAGAACUAAAUAAACUGAUUUAGGUAAUACCGGGAACACUACUUCUUUCCCCUCCCCCAAAAGUGUCAUCUUUCACCUUAGAAUCAAUAAUAAGUAUUGGUUCCAAGGCAGAAGAGUGGUAAGAAUUAAGCAACUGGAAUUUUGCUCAGGGCCACU